GCUGGUGUUGCUCAGUGGCUAGAGUGUUGGCCAAUGCACCAAAGGAUCACAGGUUCGAUUCCUGGUCAAGGGCA
rfam:Myotis lucifugus cont2.43908, whole genome shotgun sequence.